GAUGAAGAACGUAGUGAAAUGCGAUAAGUAAUGUGAAUUGCAGAAUUCAGUGAACCAUCGAAUCUUUGAACGCACAUUGCGCCCGGCAGUAAUCUGCCGGGCAUGCCUGUCCGAGCGUCAUUUCUGCCCUCGAGCGAGUCCAGCAUCUAGGUGCUGGGCCCGCCCGGCGUUGGGGCACUACGGGAAGCCCUGUGCUGUCCCCCGUAGGCCCCGAAAUGAAGUGGCGGUCCUGCCGCGGCGCCCCCUGCGUAGUAUAACAGCUCGCUUCGGGACCCGGUGGAGGCCUGCCGUCAAACCUUACUCUCUAAGUUUGACCUCGGAUCAGGUAGGGUUACCCGCUGAACUUAAGCAUAUCAAUAAGCGGAGGA
rnacentral:misc_RNA from 1 species